rnacentral:lncRNA from 1 species
CAUGAAGGUUGCACACAAAAGGAUUUUAGGAAAAGGAAAAUCUUAAAAGAAUAUAGCAAAAAAGGAAGUUGUGUUAAACCUGUCGAGAUGAGACUUCGGCCAUGUCCCUUGGUUCGUUGCUCGAAUCUAGAGAGCUUAAUGGCCGAACCCAGUGUUUAAGGUAGCCUUUUAGUUUAUACGACCGAUGAAGGUUAUCUACGUUUGAUGGCCAUUGAGGUGGCCAGGAAAUAUAAAUAACCCUAUUUGGCGCAUAGAAUUUUCGGUGAAAUAAGCAGUUGGGCACCUGGCAUUUAAUGUUUUUCUUGGUUCAGAAUUCAAAGGUUGGGAAUUAAGAAAGGAAAUGGUAAUGAUUCUUACAAAGGUUGAAGU